CCUCGGGGGGCCUUACAAGGCUGAGAUGCGCAAGCGUACCCGUCGAACCUGAACCGGUUAAGACCGGCGGAGGGAAGGUC
rnacentral:ncRNA from 1 species